rnacentral:rRNA from 1 species
GACGAACGCUGGCGGCGUGCUUAACACAUGCAAGUCGAACGGUGAAAGCGGAGCUUGCUCCGCUGGAUCAGUGGCGUACGGGUGAGUAACACGUGGGCAACCUGCCCCUCACUUCGGGAUAACUCCGGGAAACCGGGGCUAAUACCGGAUAUGACCUCCUUGGGCAUCCUUGGAGGUGGAAAGUUUUUCGGUGAGGGAUGGGCCCGCGGCCUAUCAGCUUGUUGGUGAGGUAGUGGCUCACCAAGGCGACGACGGGUAGCCGGCCUGAGAGGGCGAACGGCGACGCUGGGACUGGGACACGGCCCAGACUCCUACGGGAGGCAGCAGUGGGGAAUAUUGCGCAAUGGGCGAAAGCCUGACGCAGCAACGCCGCGUGCGGGAUGACGGCCUUCGGGUUGUAAACCGCUUUCAGCAGGGAAGAAGCCGCAAGGUGACGGUACCUGCAGAAGAAGCACCGGCUAACUACGUGCCAGCCGCCGGGGUAA